AGUGAACGCUGGCGGUAGGCCUAACACAUGCAAGUCGAACGGCAGCACAGUAAGAGCUUGCUCUUACGGGUGGCGAGUGGCGGACGGGUGAGGAAUACAUCGUAAUCUACUUUUUCGUGGGGGAUAACGUAGGGAAACUUACUCUAAUAUCGCAUACGACCUACGGUUGAAAGCAGGGGAUCUUCUGACCUUGCGCGAUUGAAUGAGCCGAUGUCGGAUUAGCUGGUGGGCGGGGUAAAGACCCACCAAGGCGACGAUCCGUAGCUGGUCUGAGAGGAUGAUCAGCCACACGAGAAGUGGACCACGGUCAAGAGUACUACGGGAGGCAGCAGUGGGGAAUAUUGGACAGUGGGCGCAAGCCUGAUCCAGCCAUACCGCGUCGGUGAAGAAGGCCUUCGGGUUGUAAAGCCCUUCUGUUGGGAAAGAAAAGCAGCAGGUUAAUACCCAGCUGUUCUGACGGUACCCAAAGAAUAAGCACCGGCUAACUUCGUG
rnacentral:rRNA from 1 species